rnacentral:rRNA from 1 species
UACAGAGGGUGCAAGCGUUGUUCGGAAUCAUUGGGCGUAAAGGGCGCGUAGGCGGUUUGUUAAGUCGGCUGUGAAAGCCUGGGGCUCAACCCCAGAGGGUCGGCCGAUACUGGCAAACUAGAGUACGGAAGAGGUAGCUGGAAUUUACGGUGUAGCGGUGAAAUGCGCAGAUAUCAGGAGGAACACCGGUGGCGAAGGCGGGUCUCUGGGCCGAUACUGACGCUGAGGAGCGAAAGCGUGGGGAGCGAACAGG